CCUACGGGAGGCAGCAGUAGGGAAUAUUGCUCAAUGGGGGGAACCCUGAAGCAGCAACGCCGCGUGGAGGAUGAAGGUUUUCGGAUUGUAAACCCCUUUUGUUAGAGAAGAUGAUGACGGUAUCUAACGAAUAAGCACCGGCUAACUCCGUGCCAGCAGCCGCGGUAAUACGGAAGGCCCGAGCGUUAUCCGGAUUCAUUGGGCUUAAAGGGAGCGUAGGCGGGCGUUCAAGUCAGAUGUAAAAUCCCGCGGCUCAACCGCGCACCGCCGUUGAAACUGGACGCCUUGAGUGCACAACAGGCAGGCGGAAUUCGUGGUGUAGCGGUGAAAUGCGUAGAUAUCACGAGGAACCCCGGUGGCGAAUGCAGCUUGCCGGGGUGCGACUGACGCUGAGGCUCGAAGGUGCGGGUAUCAAACAGGAUUAGAUACCCCGGUAGUC
rnacentral:rRNA from 1 species